UCUUCCCCUUUCCGUAGUGGCGGUGGCGUAACGGUCCUCGCCUGCCUCCUCCUCCUACAGCUACCGCUUACCCAACGCCAGCCGCAACCCGCUCAGGCCGCCGUCUGAUCGCGCCGCGGGCCUGCGGAUCGGGGAUGACUCUGCGGGGACUUGGUGAGCCGUCCUCUUCGCCGGAACCAAUGGUUACUACAAGUACCCCAUCAGGGUUAUAUUAGUGUGAACAACUUCUUUGUUGAUGAUGGUGUAGUAGACCCACUUUGAUGGGAGAUGAGCUGACCUCUUAUCAAAGGUUAAGGAUUCGAAAUGAUGAUGGUGUAAUAGACCCACUUUGAUGGGAGAUGACAUUAAUGUGAACAACUUCCUUGAUGUGUGUAGAUGAUCAUAUCUUCCUUCGUA